GAUGAACGCUGGCGGCGUGCCUAAUACAUGCAAGUUGAACGCACAGCGAAAGGUGCUUGCACCUUUCAAGUGAGUGGCGAACGGGCGAGUAACACGUGGACAACCUGCCUCAAGGCUGGGGAUAACAUUUGGAAACAGAUGCUAAUACCGAAUAAAACUCAGUGUCGCAUGACACAAAGUUAAAAGGCGCUUUGGCGUCACCUAGAGAUGGAUCCGCGGUGCAUUAGGUAGUUGGUGGGGUAAAGGCCUACCAAGGCAAUGAUGCAUAGCCGAGUGGAGGAACUGGUCGGCCACGUUGGGACUGAGACACGGCCCAAACUCCUACGGGAGGCUGCAGGAGGAAAUCUUCCACAAGGGGCGAAAGCCUGAUGGAGCAACGCCGCGUGUGUGAUGAAGGCUUUCGGGUCGUAAAGCACUGUUGUAUGGGAAGAACAGCUAGAAUAGGGAAUGAUUUUAGUUUGACGGUACCAUACCAGAAAGGGACGGCUAAAUACGUGCCAGCCGCCGCCGUAA
rnacentral:rRNA from 1 species